GAUGAACGCUGGCGGCGUGCUUAACACAUGCAAGUCGAACGGAAAGGCCAGUGCUUGCACUGGUACUCGAGUGGCGAACGGGUGAGUAACACGUGGGUGAUCUGCCCUGCACUUCGGGAUAAGCCUGGGAAACUGGGUCUAAUACCGGAUAGGACAAUGGUUUGGAUGCCGUUGUGGAAAGUUUUUUCGGUGUGGGAUGAGCUCGCGGCCUAUCAGCUUGUUGGUGGGGUGAUGGCCUACCAAGGCGUCGACGGGUAGCCGGCCUGAGAGGGUGUACGGCCACAUUGGGAGUGAGAUACGGCCCAGACUCCUACGGGAGGGAGCAGUGGGGAAUAUUGCACAAUGGGCGCAAGCCUGAUGCAGCGACGCCGCGUGGGGGAUGACGGCCUUCGGGUUGUAAACUCCUUUCGCUAGGGACGAAGCGUAUUUGUGACGGUACCUGGAGAAGAAGCACCGGCUAACUACGUG
rnacentral:rRNA from 1 species